CCUACGGGAGGCAGCAGUGGGGAAUAUUGCACAAUGGGGGAAACCCUGAUGCAGCGACGCCGCGUGAGUGAAGAAGUAUUUCGGUAUGUAAAGCUCUAUCAGCAGGGACGAAAAAAGACGGUACCUGACUAAGAAGCCCCGGCUAACUACGUGCCAGCAGCCGCGGUAAUACGUAGGGGGCAAGCGUUAUCCGGAUUUACUGGGUGUAAAGGGAGCGUAGACGGUAUGGCAAGUCUGAAGUGAAAGGCGAGGGCCUAACCCUGGGACUGCUUUGGAAACUGUUAGACUGGAGUGCUGGAGAGGUAAGUGGAAUUCCUAGUGUAGCGGUGAAAUGCGUAGAUAUUAGGAGGAACACCAGUGGCGAAGGCGGCUUACUGGACAGUAACUGACGUUGAGGCUCGAAAGCGUGGGGAGCAAACAGGAUUAGAUACCCGUGUAGUC
rnacentral:rRNA from 1 species